rnacentral:rRNA from 1 species
GUGGGGAAUUUUGGACAAUGGGCGAAAGCCUGAUCCAGCCAUGCCGCGUGCAGGAUGAAGGCCUUCGGGUUGUAAACUGCUUUUGUACGGAACGAAAAGACUCCUUCUAAUAAAGGGGGUCCAUGACGGUACCGUAAGAAUAAGCACCGGCUAACUACGUGCCAGCAGCCGCGGUAAUACGUAGGGUGCAAGCGUUAAUCGGAAUUACUGGGCGUAAAGCGUGCGCAGGCGGUUUUGUAAGACAGGCGUGAAAUCCCCGGGCUCAACCUGGGAAUUGCGCUUGUGACUGCAAGGCUGGAGUGCGGCAGAGGGGGAUGGAAUUCCGCGUGUAGCAGUGAAAUGCGUAGAUAUGCGGAGGAACACCGAUGGCGAAGGCAAUCCCCUGGGCCUGCACUGACGCUCAUGCACGAAAGCGUGGGGAGCAAACAGGAUUAGAAACCCUGGUAGUCC